AGCUCUACGGAGUGUAAAGCCCUGUCAGAGGGGAAGAAAAGUAUGGAUUCGCAAGGGUUCAUAUUUGACGGUACUCUCAGAGGAAGCUCCGGCUAACUCCGUGCCAGCAGCCGCGGUAACACGGGGGGAGCAAGCGUUGUCCGGAAUUACUGGGCGUAAAGGGCGUGUAGGCGGGCUGGUAAGUCAGAUGUGAAAUAUCCCGGCUCAACCGGGAGGGGUCAUCUGAAACUGCUGGUCUUGAGUUCGAGAGAGGGUGGUGGAAUUCCCGGUGUAGCGGUGAAAUGCAUAGAUAUCGGGAGGAACACCAGAGGCGAAGGCGGCCACCUGGCUCGACACUGACGCCGAGGCGCGAAAGCGUGGGCAGCAAACAGGAUUAGAUACCCUGGUAGUCCACGCCGUAAACGAUGAUUACUAGGCGUUCGAAGUGUUAACCCUUUGAGUGCCGCAGCUCACGCAAUAAGUAAUCCGCCUGGGGAGUACGGUCGCAAGGCUAAAACUCAAAGGAAUUGACGGGGGCCCGCACAAGCGGUGGAGUAUGUGGUUUAAUUCGAAGCAACGCGCAGAACCUUACCUGGGCUUGACAUCCCGUGACAGCUAUAGAGAUAUAGUUUUCCCUUCGGGGACGCGGUGACAGGUGCUGCAUGGCUGUCGUCAGCUCGUGUUGUGAAAUGUUCGGUUAAGUCCGGCAACGAGCGCAACCCUUAUCCUUAGUUGCCAGCA
rnacentral:rRNA from 1 species